UGCCAGCAGCCGCGGUAAUACGGAGGGUCCAAGCGUUAUCCGGAUUUAUUGGGUUUAAAGGGUCCGCAGGCGGGAUAUUAAGUCAGUGGUGAAAGCCUACAGCUUAACUGUAGCACUGCCAUUGAUACUGGUAUUCUUGAGUGUGGUUGAAGUGGGCGGAAUAUGUCAUGUAGCGGUGAAAUGCAUAGAUAUGACAUAGAACACCUAUUGCGAAGGCAGCUCACUAAGCCAUUACUGACGCUCAGGGACGAAAGCGUGGGUAGCAAACAGGAUUAGAUA
rnacentral:rRNA from 1 species